UACGGAGGGGGCUAGCGUUGUUCGGAAUUACUGGGCGUAAAGGGCGCGUAGGCGGCUUGGUCAGUCCCGUGUGAAAUCCCUCGGCUCAACUGAGGAACUGCACGGGAAACUGCCUGGCUUGAGUUCGGGAGAGGGAAGCGGAAUUCCAGGUGUAGCGGUGAAAUGCGUAGAUAUCUGGAGGAACACCGGUGGCGAAGGCGGCAUCCUGGACCAACACUGACGCUGAGGAGCGAAAGCCAGGGGAGCAAACGGG
rnacentral:rRNA from 1 species